CCCUUAGACGUUCUGGGCCGCACGCGCGCUACACUGACGGAGCCAGCGAGUAUAAACCUUGGCCGAGAGGUCUGGGAAAUCUUGUGAAACUCCGUCGUGCUGGGGAUAGAGCAUUGUAAUUAUUGCUCUUCAACGAGGAAUUCCUAGUAAGCGCAAGUCAUCAGCUUGCGUUGAUUACGUCCCUGCCCUUUGUACACACCGCCCGUCGCUACUACCGAUUGAAUGGCUUAGUGAGGCUUCCGGAUUGGUUUAGAGAAGGGGUCAACUCCAUCUUGGAACCGAGAAGCUAGUCAAACUUGGUCAUUUAGAGGAAGUAAAAGUCGUAACA
rnacentral:rRNA from 1 species